GACGAACGCUGGCGGCGUGCCUAACACAUGCAAGUCGAACGGUAAGGCCCUUCGGGGUACACGAGUGGCGAACGGGUGAGUAACACGUGGGUGAUCUGCCCUGUACUUCGGGAUAAGCCUGGGAAACUGGGUCUAAUACCGGAUAGGACCACUGCCUGCAUGGGUGGUGGGGGAAAGCUUUUGCGGUGUGGGAUGGGCCCGCGGCCUAUCAGCUUGUUGGUGGGGUGAUGGCCUACCAAGGCGACGACGGGUAGCCGGCCUGAGAGGGUGACCGGCCACACUGGGACUGAGAUACGGCCCAGACUCCUACGGGAGGCAGCAGUGGGGAAUAUUGCACAAUGGGCGCAAGCCUGAUGCAGCGACGCCGCGUGAGGGAUGACGGCCUUCGGGUUGUAAACCUCUUUCAGCACCGACGAAGCGCAAGUGACGGUAGGUGCAGAAGAAGGACCGGCCAACUACGUGCCAGCCGCCGCAGUAA
rnacentral:rRNA from 1 species